rnacentral:misc_RNA from 1 species
AGCAUUGACAGCUUGUACAGUAUUGAGAUGACAAAAUUGAACUUUGUGAUAUUCUCCAAUGGAUGCAAACCAGUCUUGCAAGGCAUCAACAAUUCGAGAUAUGAAUUCUCUAAGAACAGCAUGAGAAUCGGCACCUUCUCGAAGCAUUUGAACAUCAAGCCAGGCUUUGAAUUCUGCGAGACGAUCUCUCCACUUUGAUGGGGGUACAUCGUCUAAUGUGAACCAUGGGCCUGAGCUGGGCCUGGAUUGCUGUUGAGCUCCUUGGAUAUUAAAGUCCAAAAUUGGAUCAUCUUUGGGUAUCUCCACAUGUGGAUCCUAGGCCUGAGGAGGUCCAGUGGCAGGGCCUGUAGUGCCGCUGGUAGAGUCCGUGGUUAGCGAAGGACCUGUUUGAGACGAAGCUGGUGGCGGAUUAGCCAUGAGCAGCUUUGUGAUGUCCAUUUUUUCAUCCUUGCUGUUAUCUUCAGAUGAUUCAUCUGAAGAGAUAUCUUCUGGCUCAGAGGGUAUAGACAUCAUCUGCUGAGGAGAGGGAUCAGGAUACAUCUUGUCAUUGCCUUUAUCAAUCUUCCUUUUUGGAGGAUGAGAUUCUUUCGAAGAAAAUAAGCUCUUUGGUUCAUAUCUGGUAGGUGUUGGGAUUAGUCUGAACAAGGGAGAUGGAUUGUAUGUGGUCUGAGGUGGUUCAUAGGAAUAGUUGAAAGGACCGAAAGGCGAGUAAGCAGGUUCAGGAGUGGGAAGGAAAGGGUUAUGAGUCAUUUGAGUGGAAAAUGGACUGUAAGAAACAGGAGCUUCUGUUGGUUUGUGCAAAUCUGCUUCAACUUGGGCUAACUGUUUCUUUAACCUCCUGAUUUCUAGUUCCUUUUGACUGAACUCUGUGCUAAAUCUCCGUUGUUGGAUUAAGGACCUUAAAUCCCUGUCAAGCUGGGUAAUCUUCCCUUGUAAAUCUUUAUACAUGUUUUGAGCGAAUGUAGAGAAGGAGUCAACCUUUUGAUCAAUAUUAUGAGUUCUUGUAAGGACUUGAUCAAUCUUGGAGUCAAUGCGUUGCAAUGUCUUAUUCUGGACAGCUACAUUCUUUGUUUGCCAAUUCAGAACUUAUUCAGCUUGAGUAAUCGGGGUUAUUUGACUUUCAUUAUCAACCUUGGUUGAAUGAAUGAAAGGUCUGGUAGAGAUUUUAGUCAGUUGGUCUGUUUGUUGAGCUAAUGGAGCGAAAUCUGCUUCAUGAGAGGCAGGAGAGAACAUCAUAUA